GGAGGAGCCGGUGGUCAGGCGGCUCCCCGGAAAGCACCCCCGCCCCCGCACGUCCCCGACCCCGGCACCGGCUGCUUCUCUCUUUUUCUUUUCAACGGCGACGAGCGGCAGCGACAGCCUCGGAUUCCCGAGGGUCCGCCCAUGGGGGCGCCGGCCCAGCGGCGGCAUCUUCUGGAAGCUUCCUCCCUGCAGCCCGAGCUCCCCACUGCCUGCACGUGGCUCCACCGAGUCUUCAGCGAGCCGCACCUUCAGUGACGACUUUGCCACUGGUGCGAAGACCCGCGGUGGAUCCUUGUCCUGAGUCGCAGAGUUCCCAGUUGCCGUCACGGCCCGAUGAGAACGCUCACCCUGCUGGCUUCGGGAAGCGCCUCCCAGGGCAGCCGCGUCGGCUGUGAUGGUCGCUUGGCGCUCACCAUUGCCAAGAUAUAUUAUCAACAGUUGCCUUGCUUCGCCUGCCCCAAAUUUGAUGAUGUAACAGAUGGUUCCCCAGCCAAGGCCGUAUUUUUUAAUGAAGAAAACAUGGCUCGAUUUCUCCAGAACAAGACAGAAUAAGGAAUAGGAAACAGCGAACGAAUGACUGAGGAUGUGGCCCAACGUCUUGUUUCCAUCCACGCGACACUGUCUAUACUCUGGGGAUGAGAGGGCAGGGUUCCACUCCUCCUAGCACUCUUUCUUUAAAAAUAUUUUAUUGGGGCGCCUGGGAGGGUCUCUCGUUUGGUGUCCAACUCUUGGUUCAGCUCAGGUUAUGAUCUUGGGGUCGUGGGAUCGAGCUCCAUGUUGGGCUGGAGAUUCUUUCCCCAUCUGCCCCUGUCCUCCUCGCAUCUGUGUGUGCUCUCUCACUCUCUUUCAA
rnacentral:lncRNA from 1 species